GUUCUAGGCCGGGAACCGCACCCGGUCCCUGGUGAGGCAGAAAUAUUCCAGCGAGGAACCGCACGUGAAUGAGCCGAGGCAUCAAGAAGGACAGUGUCGGCAAUAGCUCUUCAGUGUCGAUAUGCUCCGGCUCCGGCGACGGCCUACUGGUAUGCUUCUUCCACCCAUCUCGCAAUGCGCUGGCAGUCCACAUGUCCCCCAUCCCGCGUCAGCCCACGACGCUUCGUCUUGCCGCAUGCACAUCUCCGGGCACGCCCCGCGUCGCAUGGCGUGCGCAUGUCGCUAGAGUCCUGGGCGCUGCCAGAUCCGGCGGGCCCUGCAACGGCGGAGUCCCGGACACACUCACAUCCCUGGAGACACUUGGUGCCUCGUGUUGUCCACUCCAAGUCUCAAACUACACUGACAGGUUAUAGUUUAGUCAGUUUUCCUCCAACGGAUUCAGAGCUCCAUUGGUUCUUGCUUCAGAUUAAGAAAUGUGCACUCUUUCUAUAACUAUUGUUAGUUGGUGCAAGAAUCUCAAUGGUUUGGGAAACAAUGUGCAAUACAACUCUUUGCAGGCUAGCAGGUGCAAGUUGCUCACGCAUACACACACAUACCAGAUACAAAACUGGAGGAUAUCAGAACAUCUUUUUAGUUCCAAAUCUAUCAAUGGUAGAUUAGGAUUCUUUCAUUCUACAGAAAUUACUUUGAUGGAUGUUGUUAUAAAACAAAAACAAUGUGGUUGUCUGCCCCCGCUCGUCCAGUUCAGGUCGGUCGGCAGUCAUCUACACCACUAACAUGUUGAUUGUAUGUUGCAGUCUGCAGCUUCUCAAUUAAGGAUGCAAACUUUGAUCAUGAGUGUGCACCUUGUAUCCGUUUCAGUAGUCCACAGACUUGUUCGAGAUCUAUACGUUUACUUGACGUUAUUUUCAUUUUUGAAGUUUCCUUGACCAUGGUCUACAGUUUUCGCUUGACAUAUAUUUUAUAUGCAUUUAUAAUGAGCACAAAUAUUCAUUCUGCAUUUGAAAUCAUAACCACAAUAUCUCACAAUGCUCUCCUCUCCUUUGUUGCAGUGAUUUAGAUGCCGCAUCAUCAGUUGAAGACUAUUUCAUAUACAUUGAUGGUCUUCCAGUGAGUGAGAAGGUAUGUUCAUGGUUGGCCAAAGUUUAUGUUUUUUCCCAGUAGUUUGUAAACCUAAAUUGCACUCUGAUCUAGGAGGAAGCAGAGAAGGUGGCGGGUCCAUUCCUAGAUGUUUUAUCCUUUUAGGAGAAGACUAUUCAGUUUCGUACAUGGGUAUGCAUAGCUCCUUUUGCAGUAAUUGAUCUAGACUGGCCAUCCAUUUUGUUUGAGGCAGGGGUAUCAAGUGCACCAGAAGAAGCUCCUUUCUGUAGCUGCAUUUGAAGAGGUCAGGCACUAGAAGAUGAAUUGCCUUUUCACGUUUGCUUAUUGGUUGUUCUUUUGGUCUUAGCAACAUUACCAGAUACUAUAUGGUUCUCAUGCAGUGCUAGCGUGUUUGAGCUGCUUCGAAUUAUUAGUUUAUAUUGAUAUAGGCCUCUCAUUAUCUCCCUU